UACGUAGGGUGCAAGCGUUAAUCGGAAUUACUGGGCGUAAAGCGUGCGCAGGCGGCUUUGCAAGACAGAUGUGAAAUCCCCGGGCUUAACCUGGGAACUGCAUUUGUGACUGCAAGGCUGGAGUGCGGCAGAGGGGGAUGGAAUUCCGCGUGUAGCAGUGAAAUGCGUAGAGAUGUGGAGGAACACCGAUGGCGAAGGCAGCCUCCUGGGCCAGCACUGACGCUCAUGCACGAAAGCGUGGGGAGCAAACAGG
rnacentral:rRNA from 1 species